CUCUCUCCUUUAGUUCAGGACAAGCAAGGACAUAGCACCGGUAUAUUCAAGAAGAUUCAUAUACACAAACUAUACAAGCAUUGUCCCAAAAAUCGGGACUAGCAAGAGCAAUAUAUGUGAGGGAAAAAAGAUGUAAAUAAACACGAAAUAUUUGAAAAAUAGCGAAACACGUGUUCAUGAAGGACCGGGUUAAUGUAACAUGGUUGAGGAUACAUACACACACUAAUGACAUUUGAAUCCACCGCAAACUGAUAAUACAAUGAUAAGAAUCAAAGCGAUGAUGAUGGCGAGGACAAUAAGUUUUAUCUUCAUAUUCUGAAACCACAUCUUUCUCCUCAUCUGGGUCCCUUGUGUCCUAAAAUCUUGCGCCUGAAAUAAAGUCGUAAUGCUCAUGGCAUCAUCUAAUAGACAACAGUGUAAUAAUUUAAAAUCUGAGGGCAAAGGCUGAAAUGCGGCAAAUUAACAAAUUUCAUAGAAUUGUGAAAUCCCCAAGGAAUUUCAUGAAGAAAUUUAUAAAAGCUAAAAAAUCUCAGUUAAAGAGUGCUCAUGCCCAAAUGGCUUCAGAGCCCAUCAGCUUAGCAAACUAAUAAAAUUCAAUA
rnacentral:lncRNA from 1 species